rnacentral:rRNA from 1 species
CCUACGGGAGGCAGCAGUGAGGAAUAUUGGUCAAUGGGCGCGAGCCUGAACCAGCCAAGUAGCGUGAAGGAUGACUGCCCUACGGGUUGUAAACUUCUUUUAUAAAGGAAUAAAGUGAGGCACGUGUGCCUUUUUGUAUGUACUUUAUGAAUAAGGAUCGGCUAACUCCGUGCCAGCAGCCGCAGUAAUACGGAGGAUCCGAGCGUUAUGCGGAUUUAUUGGGUUUAAAGGGAGCGUAGAUGGGUUGUUAAGUCAGUUGUGAAAGUUUGCGGCACAACCGUAAAACUGAAAUUGAUGAUGGCAUGCUAGCGUACGUGUGAGGUAAGCGGAAUUCGUGGUGUAGAGGUGAAAUGCUUAGAUAGCAAGCAGAAGUCCAAUGGCGAAGGAAGCUGACUAAACUGCAACUGACGUUGAUGCUCGAAAGUGUGGGUAUCAAACAGGAUGAGAUACCCUUGUAGUC